CUUGACAGAGAUUCUCCCCUGCCCGUCAUCCUACUCUCCCCGUGUUAAUCUUCCAGUUGCUGUGCUGUUGCCGAAGGCAGGAGAUUAACGUUGGUCCUAUUUUUCAAUUGUUGGUGCCAGUUUCUGAGCGAACGGAGUCCUGUUGAGCAAGUCCUCACCCCGCACAAGACUCCUUAGACUGUCUUUUACCAGGUUCAGACUUUGGGGUUUGACAUCAUCCACAACCAUCAAAUUAGCUUUCCCAGAGAUACAAGGGUGGCUCAGCCUACUCAAGUUGAUAAGUGAAAUAAAUCACAGAAGUAGGUUUAAGGACAAAAAUCGCAUGAGCCUCUCAAUAAAUGCAGAGAAGGCCCGUGACAAAACCCAACAUGCCUUCAUGAUAAAAAUCCUAGAGGAAUUUUUGGCCCUAGUGGGAACAUACCUCACUAUAAUAAAGACCUUGGCAGGCCCGUAGCAAAUUGCAUCUUAAACAGAAAAAAAAAUUGAAGCAAUCUCGUCAAAAUUAGGAACGAGAGGAACUGUUCCCUAUGUUAGCCUCCGGUACCGGCUCUCUUCUUUUUCAAUGUAGCGCUUGAAGCCCUAGCUAGAGCAAUAAGGUAAGGAAACUAAAGGAGCAUAAAUAGAAAAAGUCAAAUUAUCCCUAUUUGCCAAUAUAUUAUGCAUAUGAGAUUCUAAACACUUUCAGGAGAGUGGAAGGAUACAAAAACAAAUUACAAAACCCAGUAGCUCUUCUCUAUGCCAAUAACAGCAUCCUGCGAAAGAAAUCCUGAAAACCAUCCCAUUCACAACAACCUCAAACACGUAUACAUUCGUACUCAUCCCCAUAAAAAGCCUAACCAAGGGGUUGCGAGACCUCUACAAUGAUGAUUUUACAUCUCUGAGGGAAGACAAUAGAGGAUGGGAAGACCUUCCACGCUCAUGGACUGGUAGAAUUCAGAGUGUGGCAACGGUCACGCCUAAAAACCAUGUGCGGAUUCAUGACAGUGCAACCACCUGGUAAUCAACCACCGAAAAAUGCAAACGAGAGGACAGAAAGUAUUAUUUACAAACGGGGCUGGAAAACAUUGGAUGUCCACAGGUAGAAGAAUGAGAUUAGAACCUUACCGCUUCCUCUGCACAAAACCAACUCCCACCAGGUCCAAGAUGCCAGUGUGAAACUUCAGUCUCUGGAACCCUGCAGACUCUUGGAGAGCAAUGUUACACAGGAGAAUCCUCAUUCCGCUUAUGGGGAGACUACUGAGGAAAAAGUGCCCGUCCUCCCCGGGCUUCUAAGACACCUUCUAGAGAGGCUAAAAUCACCUUCUAGAGAGGCUAAAAUGACCAUUUUUCUACAGCGUCCAGAUGCAAAGGAUGCUGCCUGACUAUGGUCCAGCCAGG
ensembl:lncRNA